rnacentral:rRNA from 1 species
ACAGGAUUAGAUACCCUGGUAGUCCACGCCGUAAACGAUGUCGACUUGGAGGCUGUUCCCUUGAGGAGUGGCUUCCGGAGCUAACGCGUUAAGUCGACCGCCUGGGGAGUACGGCCGCAAGGUUAAAACUCAAAUGAAUUGACGGGGGCCCGCACAAGCGGUGGAGCAUGUGGUUUAAUUCGAUGCAACGCGAAGAACCUUACCUGGCCUUGACAUCCAGAGAACUUUCCAGAGAUGGAUUGGUGCCUUCGGGAACUUUGAGACAGGUGCUGCAUGGCUGUCGUCAGCUCGUGUUGUGAAAUGUUGGGUUAAGUCCCGCAACGAGCGCAACCCUUAUCCUUUGUUGCCAGCGAUUCGGUCGGGAACUCAAAGGAGACUGCCGGUGAUAAACCGGAGGAAGGUGGGGAUGACGUCAAGUCAUCAUGGCCCUUACGGCCAGGGCUACACACGUGCUACAAUGGCGCAUACAAAGAGAAGCGACCUCGCGAGAGCAAGCGGACCUCAUAAAGUGCGUCGUAGUCCGGAUCGGAGUCUGCAACUCGACUCCGUGAAGUCGGAAUCGCUAGUAAUCGUGGAUCAGAAUGCCACGGUGAAUACGUUCCCGGGCCUUGUACACACCGCCCGUCACACCAUGGGAGUGGGUUGCAAAAGAAGUAGGUAGCUUAACCUUCGGGAGGGCGCUUACCACUUUGUGAUUCAUGACUGGGGUGAAGUCGUAACAAGGUAUC